UCAUGACUCUUCUACUUGGAAUGGUUGUUUUACAGGAUGAAGUCAUAAAACAAAAUGGAGUCACAUUUGCUUCUACUAUCACAAUACGUGUCUCUGCCAUUCCUCGCCCCCACCCACCUGAGCAUUCAUGAUGCCACAUUCUGGUGGAUCCAGGAGUUGAAAGUCAGAAAGUCAGAGACGCCGUGUGAACACAAGGCAACUGUGGUACAUCCAUGGAGAUCACUAACUGCAACAUGUUCUCCAAGUCAGCAAAUGCCACUGGAGUUCAGCUCCCUGUGGAUUCCUUUACAACACACAUUUUGGGAAGAGAUGACCCAGUCUCCAGCGAUUUUUUCCGGAUCCUCUUCCUUUUUAUGGGGCAGAAGUGGGAAAAGUACAAAAGGCAGCAGAUCUGUCCCCACCAACUGUUAAUAGCCUUUGUUCUUGGACUCCUUUGGUGAGAUUUUCCUCAUUGUUAAUGUGCUUUUCUGGAUUUUGGUGUGUUUAUUUCUUGUCUUUUUCCUGGACCAAAGACAUCCAAUUUUCCAUUCACUCUUCUGAUCAAUUUCUUUUACUUAUAA